UAAGUCCUGCCCAGUGAUAUAUAUUCAACGGCCGCGGUAUCCUAACCGUGCAAAGGUAGCAUAAUCAUUUGCCUAUUAAUUGUAGGCUAGAAUGAACGGAUAAACGAAAUAAAAACUGUCUCAAUUAACUACCUAAAAAUUAUUCUCUAUAUGAAGAAAUAUAGAUAUAUUCGAAGGACAAGAAGACCCUAUAGAGCUUUAUUUAAACCAUAUAACACCAAUAUGUUAAAAUUCGGUUGGGGCGACCCCGGAAUCAUCCAUCAUCCAAAAAAAUAAGAUACAUAAAUCCAAAUAAUGAUCCUUUAAAGACCAUAAGAACAAGCUACCUUAGGGAUAACAGGCUAAUCCUAUUCAAGAGUUCAUAUCUACAAUAGGGAUUGGCACCUCGAUGUUGGCUUAGGGGAUCAAUAUAGCGCAAAAGUUAUAUAAUGAUGGUUUGUUCAACCAGUAAUUCCCU
rnacentral:rRNA from 1 species